rnacentral:rRNA from 1 species
AGCCACAGCCGUAUUACCCUGCAUCCAAAAUCCAGUUACUCACUGAAGCUAAGCAAGGCUGAGCCUGGUCAGUAUCUGGAUGGGAGGCCGCAUGGUGAAAGAUAGGUUGCUGGUGGAAA